rnacentral:rRNA from 1 species
CCUACGGGUGGCAGCAGUGAGGAAUAUUGGUCAAUGGUCGGGAGACUGAACCAGCCAAGCCGCGUGAGGGAUGAAGGUACAGAGUAUCGUAAACCUCUUUUGUCAGGGAACAAAGGCGGGGACGUGUCCCCGGAUGAGUGUACCUUACGAAAAAGCAUCGGCUAACUCCGUGCCAGCAGCCGCGGUAAUACGGAGGAUGCGAGCGUUAUCCGGAUUUAUUGGGUUUAAAGGGUGCGCAGGCGGUCUGUUAAGUAAGCGGUCAAAGCCCGGGGCUCAACCCCGGCCCGCCGUUGAAACUGGCGGUCUAGAGUUGGGGAGAGGUAUGCGGAAUGCGCGGUGUAGCGGUGAAAUGCAUAGAUAUCGCGCAGAACUCCGAUUGCGAAGGCAGCAUGCCGGCUCAACACUGACGCUGAGGCACGAAAGCGUGGGUAGCGAACAGGAUUAGAUACCCUAGUAGUC